rnacentral:rRNA from 1 species
GGGUGAGUAACACGUAGGUAACCUGCCCCGGAGCGGGGGAUAACAUUUGGAAACAGAUGCUAAUACCGCAUAACAACAAAAGCUGCAUGGCUUUUGUUUGAAAGAUGGCUUUGGCUAUCACUCUGGGAUGGACCUGCGGUGCAUUAGCUAGUUGGUAAGGUAACGGCUUACCAAGGCGAUGAUGCAUAGCCGAGUUGAGAGACUGAUCGGCCACAAUGGAACUGAGACACGGUCCAUACUCCUACGGGAGGCAGCAGUAGGGAAUCUUCCACAAUGGGCGCAAGCCUGAUGGAGCAACACCGCGUGAGUGAAGAAGGGUUUCGGCUCGUAAAGCUCUGUUGUUGGAGAAGAACGUGCGUGAGAGUAACUGUUCACGCAGUGACGGUAUCCAACCAGAAAGUCACGGCUAACUACGUGCCAGCAGCCGCGGUAAUACGUAGGUGGCAAGCGUUAUCCGGAUUUAUUGGGCGUAAAGCGAGCGCAGGCGGUUGCUUAGGUCUGAUGUGAAAGCCUUCGGCUUAACCGAAGAAGUGCAUCGGAAACCGGGCGACUUGAGUGCAGAAGAGGACAGUGGAACUCCAUGUGUAGCGGUGGAAUGCGUAGAUAUAUGGAAGAACACCAGUGGCGAAGGCGGCUGUCUGGUCUGCAACUGACGCUGAGGCUCGAAAGCAUGGGUAGCGGACAGGAUUAGAUACCCUGGUAGUCCAUGCCGUAAACGAUGAGUGCUAGGUGUUGGA